CGCAAUGAAUGCAUCAUUCGUUGGACGUCGAGCUCACUUUCUUACGAAUUCACGCACGCACAGAAGGACGGGAGCGCGCCUCUGCCUUUCUGUGUGCUAGCGCACUGCAUCCGUCACCGAGCGACCCGUUAAGUAGAUUCGGGUCUCUGCGCACUCCUCUUCUGCCCUUGGACCAGUUACACCCAUGCAGCGUCCCACCGCAGCUAGAUGUAGCGACAGGCGAGAGUCGUCUGCUGCCAGCCGCAAACUCGUGAAGAAGCCCCACAGCCUGAUGGACGAGCUGCCUCCUCGUCCACCUAGCCCGUACAAGUGGAAGCAGCACCGGCAACAUGACGGCCACCACAUCUCCAUCACCGCGUCCUUCAUGCGCGGGCGGCGGAACAUGCGAGCAGGAGCUGCCGCCAUUUCUGCCGUCGCGGCAUCUCCGUUCCCUUUGGACGGUGCGACGAGAGCAGCCAAGUCCAGUCCUGCCUUUCCAAUGCGCGCGCUAGUCGUUGCAGGCACACACGACAGCGAUGCUGCGGAGGGCAAUGGCGACGACGAGGCUAUCUUCGAACUUUUCUUUCGCGAGGCGCAGUUCCACUAUCACAUCUCCGCAGAGGAGAACAUGCGUAACCACCUUCUCGCCGGCGAGGAGGUUGCUUUCACAAACCUGAUCAUUGAGGCCUUGCAGGCGCGCGCCGAGCUGCUAGCUGGAGACGAGGCAGCAGAGCUGGUGAUCAGGGACGCACAGAAGCGGGCAGAGGAGCGGCAAGCCAUGAUGAAGGGGAUCGAGAAAAAUGUGGCCCUUCGGCUGCACGACGAGCGCAUGGCACAGUUGUUGGCUAUCGAGUUUGAGGCGCUGCUCCCGGCACACGCUGCGGGCUGCGAGCGCAUCCUUCGUGAGCAGGCCGCCGACCUUGGCGAAGUGUUUCGCUGGCACAAAGAGAACCGCCCUCUCGGGGCCGGGUGCUUCAUCAAAUCCCCAGGGGAGGAUUCUCGCCUCACGGACGCCCGCCGCGGUACCGGUGCGGCAAAGUUUCUAGGGAGCAGAUUAGCACUGGCAAAAGGCUCUCAUCGUGCCUCGUGUGCGCGCAGCUCCCGAGCCUACUUGGCCCAGUUGCUACAGAAAAGUACGUCGAGCUGCUGUACCGCCGCUGCGCUUGGCCCCCUGGCGAUCAACACGGGCGAGGACCCGGCGCCGCUGUUGGAUGGGACGCUGCCGGUGACGGAUGAGGCUCUCUUUCAGGAGGAGGGGCGGGCGCGCCUGCAGGCAGCGAAGGAUCGGCGCUACGUAGAGCUUCGAGGGCUGCGCGCUGUGAUCGAUGUUCAGGAGGCGGCGGCUGCGGCGCGCGAGAAUGUGCUGGAGGAGGAGGCGAUGUGCCGGAUGCAAAUCACGCGCCUCGAAGUGGACGGUAUGUACGCUGCCCAGGAGGCGACUCGGGAGCGGAAGAAGCGUGAGGCUAGCGCGGACGCUGCUACGGCGCGCCGUGCAGCACAGAAGAAAGAAGUCAAGGAGCGCCUGCUGCGUCAGCGCGCGCGCCCGCUACCUGAGCCAGACGACGGCAUGGGUGGUGACCCGUGCGUGCAGCCGCACGUUUCGAGAAAGAGCACCGAGGAGGGUGCGCAUCCUCCCAAAGACCAGGCAGCGAUUGCGGAGGCAGGCGCGCUAGAGCAGCCGAGUCCGCAGAGCUCCUCCUCCACCGUACCGGACAACUUCUCUCCGCUGAGCGGGGCGUUGGCGGAGGGUGCAAGCACGACGGCAGAAGCCAACGCCGAUGAAGUUGAUGACCUGGCGUACCUGCGUUUGGUCACAGGCGAGAUUACAGAUCCGGAAGCGUGCAAGCAACUCAGCGCGCUGGCGAAACGUGAAGUCGACGAGGCAAUGCAGAACGCAGAGUAGGGAGGAUUUAGGUCUUUGUGGAUGUCGCUGAAGACUAGGCCGUCGAAAGGGGCUUACAAACCUGCGGGCGGGUGUGUCUGUCUCUGUCUGACGUGCGCGAGCUCUGACGCACAUUUGAAGACAUAACUGCACAAUCACGCGCACAUUUUCCGAGCCUCCUUUGGAACUUGCUGCUCACCUUUCUGUUGUGUCUCUUUUCUUGUGUGUGUGUGUGUGUGUGUGAGGACUGAAGCAUCGAUGAUGUAUGUGAAGACUCAAGUCCUCUUUCAGCCUCUUUGUUGCCCUCCCCCACUCCUCUUCCCCUUACCCCACAACCACCACCUAACUCACGGUUAUCUCGAGCCUUGCCAUCGGCGUCCUCCUGCACUUUGAACGGCGUGUUAGGAAUUGCCGAGAGCAACGGCCACCCCGCCUUCGCUUCUUGUUUUCUCUUGCCAUCACGUGCACAUGUAGACUAUUAUGCCACCGCACCAAACUCGUGACGCAGCUGCUGCUUCUUGUUUGUUUCGCUGUGCGCAUCUUUUUCCGGGUCUUUUAUUUAUAUUUCUGUUUCGUUCGUCUCCUUCCCCGCCCCUCCCCUCGAUCUGUUUACCGCCGCUGUGAGUCAUUCCUGCAGUGUGCCGCGCUCUCGAUUUUUUUUUUCGCUGUAUCUUCGUUUUGUAUGCCUUAUGUUGAUGUUGGUGUCUCGUGUUUGCGGCAUCCUCCUCCGCACUCCCACCUUCUGUUUCGUGGUGGUGGUAGGUGGCUUUGCCUUAUGGACCUCACCUCUGGUGACCCUCGUUCGUCCUCGAUAGGCUCUCGCUUAUGGCCACCCCGACCUCCAUCACCUCUCUUUCUUGCUCAGCGCACACCCCGCGUAUGUAUAUAUAUAUGCAUAGGCGCGCAUGUGUGUCUCCUGUGUCAGUCUGCCAGUUGUCCUUCUCAUUUGUCCAUGUACCCUUCGCCAUCUGAUGACGAAAGAGAGAGAGGGGGGUAUACGUGUAUGUACAUAUGCAUAUGUGUACGUAUGUGCGUAUGCACAUAUUCCUUCCAGCUCUCAAGUACCCUUCUCUGUCUCGUUGAUGUAUUUCUCCCCCGUCUUUGGAACGUGUGCAUCUCUGCCUUGUUGCCGGGCUGUGCUACGCAGGGCAGAAAAUGAGACAAAAGCGUCGCCCAGAUG
rnacentral:misc_RNA from 1 species